rnacentral:rRNA from 1 species
UACGUAGGGUGCAAGCGUUAAUCGGAAUUACUGGGCGUAAAGCGUGCGCAGGCGGUUAUGCAAGACAGAUGUGAAAUCCCCGGGCUCAACCUGGGAACUGCAUUUGUGACUGCAUAGCUAGAGUACGGUAGAGGGGGAUGGAAUUCCGCGUGUAGCAGUGAAAUGCGUAGAUAUGCGGAGGAACACCGAUGGCGAAGGCAGCCCCCUGGGUCGACACUGACGCUCAGGCACGAAAGCGUGGGGAGCAAACAGG